UUACGGUCAAAUCACGCUGAAACACCUCAUUCUCGUUCGAUCACCGAAGUUAAGCAUCGUAGAGCCAGGUCAGUACUUAGAUGGGGGACCGCUUGGGAACACCUGGUACUGUAAG